GAUGAACGCUGGCGGCGUGCCUAAUACAUGCAAGUCGAGCGAACGGACGAGAAGCUUGCUUCUCUGAUGUUAGCGGCGGACGGGUGAGUAACACGUGGAUAACCUACCUAUAAGACUGGGAUAACUUCGGGAAACCGGAGCUAAUACCGGAUGAUAUUUUGAACCGCAUGGUUCAAAAGUGAAAGACGGUCUUGCUGUCACUUAUAGAUGGAUCCGCGCUGCAUUAGCUAGUUGGUAAGGUAACGGCUUACCAAGGCAACGAUGCAUAGCCGACCUGAGAGGGUGAUCGGCCACACUGGAACUGAGACACGGUCCAGACUCCUACGGGAGGCAGCAGUAGGGAAUCUGCCGCAAUGGGCGAAAGCCUGACGGAGCAACGCCGCGUGAGUGAUGAAGGUCUUCGGAUCGUAAAACUCUGUUAUUAGGGAAGAACAUAUGUGUAAGUAACUGUGCACAUCUUGACGGUACCUAAUCAGAAAGCCACGGCUAACUACGG
rnacentral:rRNA from 1 species